AUAAAAUGGAAUCAAAAAGCUUUCAAAUACAUGGGAAGAUACGACAGUGUCGCACUAAAGAGAGCAGGCCAAUGAAAAGGAAACGAAUUAUCAGUGAUUCGAUAUCAACAGAACAAGAUUGUCUAUCUGCUGAUACAUCUGACACAUCUUCAGGAGAACACAUGCCACAUGACGAGAAGAGAAAACUGAAAGACUGGCAAUC